rnacentral:rRNA from 1 species
GUGAACGCUGGCGGUAGGCCUAACACAUGCAAGUCGCACGGCAGCACAGUAAGAGCUUGCUCUUACGGGUGGCGAGUGGCGGACGGGUGAGGAAUACAUCGGAAUCUACUUUUUCGUGGGGGAUAACGUAGGGAAACUUACGCUAAUACCGCAUACGACCUACGGGUGAAAGCAGGGGAUCUUCGGACCUUGCGCAAUUGAAUGAGCCGAUGUCGGAUUAGCUAGUUGGCGGGGUAAAGGCCCACCAAGGCGACGAUCCGUAGCUGGUCUGAGAGGAUGAUCAGCCACACUGGAACUGAGACACGGUCCAGACUCCUACGGGAGGCAGCAGUGGGGAAUAUUGGACAAUGGGCGCAAGCCUGAUCCAGCCAUACCGCGUGGGUGAAGAAGGCCUUCGGGUUGUAAAGCCCUUUUGUUGGGAAAGAAAAGCAGCAGGUUAAUACCCCGCUGUUCUGACGGUACCCAAAGAAUAAGCACCGGCUAACUUCGUG